AUGGCCGGCGCCGGGAGGAAGGUGGCGGUCGCCGCCGUGCAGUUCGCCUGCACCGACACGGUGGCCGACAACGUCGCCGCCGCCGAGAGGUUGAUUAGAGAAGCUCAUAAGAAAGGCGCAAACAUUGUCCUCAUUCAGGAGCUAUUUGAGGGGCACUAUUUCUGUCAAGCUCAAAGGAUGGAUUUCUUUGGGCGUGCCAAGCCUUAUAAAGAGAACCCGACUAUAAUGAGAAUGCAAAAACUUGCAAAGGAGUUGGAUGUUGUAAUACCUGUAAGUUUCUUUGAAGAAGCGGGCAAUGCUCAUUACAAUUCCGUGGCCAUUAUUGAUGCUGAUGGCACCGAUCUUGGCCUAUACCGCAAAUCACACAUUCCAGAUGGACCAGGUUAUCAAGAGAAAUUUUAUUUCAACCCGGGUGACACUGGAUUCAAGGCUUUCAAAACCAAGUAUGCAACAAUUGGUGUUGGAAUUUGCUGGGAUCAGUGGUUUCCAGAGACCGCAAGGGCUAUGGUGCUACAGGGGGCGGAAAUAUUGUUCUAUCCCACUGCUAUUGGUUCUGAACCCCAGGAUAUGAACCUGGAUUCCCGUGAACACUGGAAGCGUGUCAUGCAAGGCCACGCCGGCGCUAACUUGGUUCCUCUUGUUGCUUCUAACCGGAUAGGUAAGGAAACUGUUGAGACUGAGCAUGGCAACAGCACCAUAAAGUUCUAUGGGAACUCAUUCAUCGCAGGGCCAACUGGAGAAAUCGUGAAGCUUGCAAAUGACAAAGACGAGGAGGUGCUCGUCGCGGAGUUUGACUUGGACGAGAUCAAAUCUACGAGGCACGGCUGGGGUAUAUUCAGGGACAGGCGUCCUGAUCUAUACAAAGUGCUACUGACGUUGGAUGGCAAGACAUCAUCAUCCUAG
rnacentral:rRNA from 1 species